UCCAGACUCCUACGGGAGGCAGCAGUGAGGAAUAUUGGUCAAUGGGCGAGAGCCUGAACCAGCCAAGUCGCGUGAAGGAUGACGGCCCUACGGGUUGUAAACUUCUUUUGUCAGGGAGCAAUUGAGUCCACGUGUGGGCUUAGCGAGAGUGCCUGAAGAAAAAGCAUCGGCUAACUCCGUGCCAGCAGCCGCGGUAAUACGGAGGAUGCGAGCGUUAUCCGGAUUUACUGGGUGUAAAGGGAGCGUAGACGGCAGUGCAAGUCUGAAGUGAAAGCCCCGGGCUUAACCCGGGAAUUGCUUUGGAAACUGUACGGCUGGAGUGCUGGAGAGGUAAGCGGAAUUCCUAGUGUAGCGGUGAAAUGCGUAGAUAUUAGGAGGAACACCAGUGGCGAAGGCGGCUUACUGGACAGUAACUGACGUUGAGGCUCGAAAGCGUGGGGAGCAAACAGGAUUAGAUACCCCUGUAG
rnacentral:rRNA from 1 species